rnacentral:rRNA from 1 species
UACGUAGGGGGCGAGCGUUGUCCGGAUUUAUUGGGCGUAAAGAGCGUGUAGGCGGUUCGGUAAGUCUGUCGUGAAAUCCUGAGGCUCAACCUCGGGCGUGCGAUGGAUACUGCCGGGCUAGAGGAUGGUAGAGGCGAGUGGAAUUCCCGGUGUAGCGGUGAAAUGCGCAGAUAUCAGGAGGAACACCAAUUGCGAAGGCAGCUCGCUGGGACGUUACUGACGCUGAGACGCGAAAAGCGUGGGGGAGCAAACAGG